rnacentral:rRNA from 1 species
CCUACGGGAGGCAGCAGUGAGGAAUAUUGGUCAAUGGACGCAAGUCUGAACCAGCCAUGCCGCGUGCAGGAAGACGGCUCUAUGAGUUGUAAACUGCUUUUGUACGAGGGUAAACGCAGAUACGCGUAUCUGUCUGAAAGUAUCGUACGAAUAAGGAUCGGCUAACUCCGUGCCAGCAGCCGCGGUAAUACGGAGGAUUCAAGCGUUAUCCGGAUUUAUUGGGUUUAAAGGGUGCGUAGGCGGUCGGAUAAGUUAGAGGUGAAAUCCCGAGGCUCAACUUCGGAAUUGCCUCUGAUACUGUACGGCUAGAGAGUAGUUGCGGUAGGCGGAAUGUAUGGUGUAGCGGUGAAAUGCUUAGAGAUCAUACAGAACACCGAUUGCGAAGGCAGCUUACCAAGCCACUUCUGACGUUGAGGCACGAAAGCGUGGGGAGCAAACAGGAUUAGAUACCCCAGUAGUC